rnacentral:lncRNA from 1 species
AUGCCCCAUGCCUAUGGGGCUCUGUGCCCCACGGCAUGGGAGUCUGUGCCCCACAGCGAGGUGGCUCGCUGCCCCAUAACCUGGGUGGUUUGUGCCCCACGGCAAGGCCCCACGUGCCCCAUGGCACAGCAGCCCAGUGCCCCACAGCAAGGGGGCUUGCUGCCCCAUAACGUGUGGUCGGUGCCCCAUUGCCAAGGGUCCACGUGCCCCAUGGCACAGCAGCGCAGCGCCCCACAGCGAGGGGGCUCAGUGCCCCAUGGCGGGGGUGCAGCGCCCCACAGCGUGGCAGCUCAGUGCCCUAUAGAAGGGGGCUCAGCGCCCCACAGCGAGGGGGUCAGUGCCCCAUGGCGAGGGGGCUCAGCGCCCCACAGCACGCAGGCUGAGCGCCCCAUGGCGAGGGCACACGGUGCCCCAUGGCGAGGGGGCUCACCCGCCCCAUGCUCGGGGGGCUUCCUGCCCCACACCUCAGGAGCUGGGCGCCCCAUAACUGGCUGCUCGCUGCCCCACGGCCUGGGUGCCCCACAGCACGGGUCCACCUGCCCCAUAAGGAGUCGCCUGGGUGCCCCACGGCGUGCCCACCCCCCCGUGCCCAUCCCAGCCCGUGCCUCAGUUUCCCCCCAGCCCCCGGCUGUGUGGGGCCGGGCGAUGCCGGGGGGGGGGGAACCGGGGCGGUGCCGGGGUGCAGGGACAACACCGGCCGCCCCCAUGUCCCCGUUCCUUGUCCCAGAGCCUGGGGGGGUGUGGAAGGGGGGGGGGGGGACACACACGCCGUGGGCCGAAGCCCCGGUGCCGGGGAAGCCCGGGGACGCCCGGGGUGCGUGGGUGACGUCGGCGGGGCCGGGCGGGCGCCGGGAUCUCCAUGGCGAUGCCGCACACACAGACAUUAAACAGAGCCCGCGUCGGAAGUCGGCAAAACCACAGCGCGUCACUGCGGCCGCCCGGCACGGCCCGGGCCCCCCAAAGCCCUCAGCUGCCCCCCCCCCACACCUCCCCGAACCCCAUGGGGACUUGUGGGGCUGGGCACGGUCCCCAGUGGGGCCAAGCGCCGUCCCCAGAGAGCUGUGGGGCCAGGCGGCGCCCGCUGUGGGGUGUGUGGGGCUGGGCACUGUGCCCUGUGGGGAUUUGUGGGGCCGGUGCUGUCCCAGCUGGGGAUGUGUGGGGCUGAGCCCCCCUGGGGGGACUUGUGGGGCUGGGAGAUAUCCCCUGGGGGGACUUGUGGGGCCGGCUGUUGUCCCCACUGGGGAUGUGUGGGGCUGGGAAUUGUCCCCCGUGGGGCCAAGCCCUGUCCCCAGUGGGGCUCUGUGGGUCCAGGCACCGUCCCCUAUGGGACCUGUGGGACUGAGCCUUGUACCCAUGGGGACCCCUCCCCAAGGGCAACCCGUGGGGCCAAGCAUCGUCCCCCCCGGGGACUUGUGGGGCUGA